UACGAAGGGGGCUAGCGUUGCUCGGAAUCACUGGGCGUAAAGCGCACGUAGGCGGAUCAUUAAGUCGGGGGUGAAAUCCUGGAGCUCAACUCCAGAACUGCCUUCGAUACUGAAGAUCUCGAGUCCGGGAGAGGUGAGUGGAACUCCGAGUGUAGAGGUGAAAUUCGUAGAUAUUCGGAAGAACACCAGUGGCGAAGGCGGCUCACUGGCCCGGUACUGACGCUGAGGAACGAAAGCUAGGGGAGCAAACAGG
rnacentral:rRNA from 1 species